GACGAACGCUGGCGGCGUGCCUAAUACAUGCAAGUCGAGCGGAACUGGGGGAGCUUGCUCCUUCCAGUUUAGCGGCGGACGGGUGAGUAACACGUGGGCAACCUGCCCUGCAGAUCGGGAUAACUCCGGGAAACCGGUGCUAAUACCGAAUAGUUUGGCGCCUCUCCUGAGGCGCCACGGAAAGACGGUUUCGGCUGUCACUGCAGGAUGGGCCCGCGGCGCAUUAGCUAGUUGGUGGGGUAACGGCUCACCAAGGCGACGAUGCGUAGCCGACCUGAGGGGGUGACCGGCCACACUGGGACUGAGACACGGCCCAGACUGCUACGGGAGGCAGAAGUAGGGAAUCUUCAGCAAUGGACGCAAGUCUGACGGAGCAACGCCGCGUGAGUGACGAAGGUUUUCGGAUCGUAAAACUCUGUUGUGAGGGAAGAACACGUACCAACUAACUAUUGGUACCUUGACGGUACCUCACCAGAAAGCCACGGCUAACUACGUGCCAGCCGCCGCCGUAA
rnacentral:rRNA from 1 species